UUAUUUUUGACCUUUUUUCUAUAUAAAAUUUAUAAAGAGAUUUUCCUAUUAAUAAUUAAUUUAUCCAAAUUUACAAAUUAAUCAUUCCUUGUUUGCAGCAGUAUUGGAAAUAAGCCAAAAAUAAUAUUUUUGACCUUUUUUCUAUUUAACAUUUUAUUAGAGCUUUUUCUAUUAAUAAUUUAAUACACAUACUUGCAAAUUAACUACAGAUAUAUAUAGGUACUCAAUGCACUACCAUUUUUUGCACACUAGUAUCCGUAUUCAUAGUUCAUUAGCCAUGGAUUUCUGUAUGAAGGCAUAGCAAAAUGUAGUUGAUUUUUUGGGCCGUUUUAAGAUAAUAAAUUCACAUUUAUAUAUGUUCCAUAUAAAAAACAAACAAAUUUCUCAUUAACCACGGGAAACCGUAGUUGAUGUUGAUUAACACAUAAAAGAGUAUCCAAUAUGAUUUGUAUUUACGUAUGAAAAGGAUUUCCAUAUAUAUCCAAUGUGUAUCCAAGGCUUUAGUUUUUUAUUUUAUUUUAUUUAAUCAUCCAAUGACUUUAUAUAAUCAUAACAAUUCCAGAUUGAAUUAUCCAUAUAUAGUAUCGAUCAGCAUGUGAACUGGAGUAGUCCUUAUCAACUUCUAUUUCUUCAAUUUCCCGCUUGUACGCCCAAAAAGAAAAAAAGAAAAAACAAGAACACGAAAGAGAGUGGGAACAAAAGGAAUUUAGGCGGGACGAUUGGCGCCUGAUAAGAGCCCCAAUCCCUCAAACCUCGCUAAUCGAUUAGAUUAAAAGGGCGUUCUGCUUUUCACUGACCAAGGAAGCAUAGGGAAGUAGAGGGUUUGCGAAAUCGACAUGGCUGGGUUUUUAGGAAGCGGGUUCGUGUGCUUUUAGAGGAUGGUGACCAUCAACAAGAGGAACCGGUCUCAAAAGAGAAUGAAUCAGUCAACAGGGACACGAACCUAUAUAUGCUAGUUUGGCUCAUGAAUAUAACUUCUGCAUGGUAAAAAGCCAGAUAGAUGGGAAUUGUUCAAAUUAACACACCAAAAGGCAGGAACUCAAGAGCCAAUUGAUGCAGCAGGUGCAAAAGCAAUUGCGGAUUUUGAAGAGGCCGAACAAAAGAGGCUAAGCAUGAAUCAACACAUCACUGCUCCAGAAAUCCGUGAAGAAAUGUAUGCUAAGGUUCUUGGUAAGGAGAAGGGAAACUGAGUAAGGGGUCUUGGAGC